UACGUAGGGUGCGAGCGUUGUCCGGAAUUAUUGGGCGUAAAGAGCUCGUAGGCGGUUUGUCACGUCUGCUGUGAAAUCCCGAGGCUCAACCUCGGGCCUGCAGUGGGUACGGGCAGACUGGAGUGCGGUAGGGGAGAGUGGAAUUCCUGGUGUAGCGGUGGAAUGCGCAGAUAUCAGGAGGAACACCGAUGGCGAAGGCAGUUCUCUGGGCCGUAACUGACGCUGAGGAGCGAAAGCGUGGGGAGCGAACAGG
rnacentral:rRNA from 1 species